UGUAAACAUCCUACAGUCAGCUA
rnacentral:miRNA from 1 species